rnacentral:rRNA from 1 species
UGGGGAAUAUUGGACAAUGGGCGAAAGCCUGAUCCAGCCAUGCCGCGUGUGUGAAGAAGGUCUUCGGAUUGUAAAGCACUUUAAGUUGGGAGGAAGGGCAGUAAGCGAAUACCUUGCUGUUUUGACGUUACCGACAGAAUAAGCACCGGCUAACUCUGUGCCAGCAGCCGCGGUAAUACUGAGGGUGCAAGCGUUAAUCGGAAUUACUGGGCGUAAAGCGAGCGUAGGUGGUUCGUUAAGUUGAAUGUGAAAGCCCCGGGCUCAACCUGGGAACUGCAUCCGAAACUGGCGAGCUAGAGUAGGGCAGGGGGUGGUGGAAUUUCCUGUGUAGCGGUGAAAUGCGUAGAUAUAGGAAGGAACACCAGUGGCGAAGGCGACCACCUGGGCUCAUACUGACACUGAGGUGCGAAAGCGUGGGGAGCAAACAGG